rnacentral:misc_RNA from 1 species
GUGAAUCAUCGAAUCUUUGAACGCACAUUGCGCCCGCCAGUAUUCUGGCGGGCAUGCCUGUUCGAGCGUCAUUUCAACCCUCAAACCCCCGGGUUUGGUGUUGGAGAUCGACAUGAGUCCCUCUGGGGCGAAGUCGUCUCCCAAAUAUAGUGGCGGUCUCGCUGUAGCUUCCUAUGCGUAGUAGCACACCUCGCACUGGAAAGCAGCGCGGCCACGCCGUUAAACCCCCCACUUUCUGAGUUUGACCUCGAAUCAGGUAGGAUUACCCGCUGAACUUAAGCAUAUCAAUAAGCGGAGGA